rnacentral:rRNA from 1 species
GACAGAGGUGCCGAGCGUUAGGCGGAAUCACUGGGCUUAAAGCGUGUGUAGGCGGAUGCCUAAGUACCUUGUGAAAUCCCACGGCUUAACCGUGGAACUGCUCGGUAUACUGGGUAUCUUGAGCCACUUAGGGGCGACCGGAACAAACGGUGGAGCGGUGAAAUGCGUAGAUAUCGUUUGGAACGCCAAUGGUGAAAACAGGUCGCUGGGAGUGUGCUGACGCUGAGACACGAAGGCCAGGGGAGCAAACGGG